GGAAUGGACAGUUAUGUUGACAGGAUGUGGUAUAAAUAACCCUUGAGACACAGGAGCGGCAGAGGUAAUGAAGUGCCUCAAGGGAAAAGCCUUAACUAUCAAGGGAUGAAUCCACUCCCUUGUGCCACAAGCCAGAGGUCACGUGACUUAGGAAUGUGUAUCCAAAGAUAAUACUACCUUCAGAGAACUCUACUUACAGAAUGUUGAUAAGAAUGCAGAAAGAUGCAUAGGAGCAAACUCAAGUGACAGAAAUAAAGACACCUUGAGAAAUCAACUCAAUCCAAACAAGAGCAACAAAAUUGAACAUCUGGUUCUGAGUAUGUGUGUUCUAGAGUCUGAUGAGGACAUUGAGUCAAAAGAACAAAUUGCCAGGACUCAGAACCUUCUCUUUCUUAUAUAGCAACAUGGUGUGUGACAAGGAAAUAAGAUGUAUGUCUACAGC
rnacentral:lncRNA from 1 species